rfam:Phascolarctobacterium sp. CAG:207 genomic scaffold, scf29
GGGGAUGUACUGGUUUCGACGGGGGUAGGUGUGGUAUGAUAAGCGAGCCGUGGUUCCGUUAGCACGUUAAACGGCGGACGUUUAAAGUAAACGCAAAAACUGAUUACGCUUUAGCAGCUUAAUGCUAACGUCUUUCCGAUCCUCCUCCCAUGGGAACGGAAAAGACGCAAACAGUGGGAUACCCGUAAGCCAAUUCUCGGAGGCGGACAGGGGAAACUCAUCGAGAUAGCGACCGCGAAGCCUGCCGCUUGGCGUCAAGGAAGCAAAAUCUAAAUUAGCGGCUGCGCUCGGAGAAAGUCAUAUUGCAAUAUUUUCGGACAGGGGUUCGACUCCCCUCAUCUCCACCA